GAGUCCAUGGAAAGAAUCAAAGGGCACGCGCAAGUUACGUAUUGCCCGUGUAUUUACGAUGGCAAAACAUACGGCCACAGUUAUGUUUUUGUUUUUUUUAAAUCACUUUCAGUGAUUAACACAAAAUCAUCUCCAGAGGCGGCGCUCGGCAUUCUAGAAUGAAUAAUACAUAACUCCAACCAAACAAAACAAAACAACAACACCCAAACAAACACUUCCAUUUGAUAUUUUAAAUUUUCAUAACCAUAGUAAUACUAUUCAAUAAAAAAUAACACAUACAAACAAAUGUAAAUGUUUACAAUUUCAAGAUUAACAUCAUUCAAAAUAUAGCAAAACAAACCCAACAACAACAAUAAACGAACAGACAUAAAAAGCUACAAAAAAACCCUACAUAAAAUAAUUAACGAUUAAAAACAAGACAAAAAAGAAAAGUAAAAAGAAAAGUGUAUCAAUUAAAAAUAUUACUAUUUGUACCAACAUUGUAAAACAAUAUUACUUUACAUAAAUAAGUAAGACUAUAAGAUAGUGUUCUACAAAAUUAAAUAACGUAUAAAGCACGGAUUACAGAAGAACAAAAACACAAACUGCCACAAUUAUUUUGACGAGUCGUCUACUUGUAGGUGAACUGACCCUUGUAUAGCUGAACGUAUCAAUCACAAAUUGCCACAACAGUAUGGACGAGACGUCUAAUGGUAGGUGCCCUGGCCUUUGUAUUGUUGAACGUAUCAAUCACAAAUUGCCACAACUGUAUGAACGAGACGUCUAAUGGUAGGUGCCCUGACCUUUGUAUUGUUGAACGUAUCAAUCACAAAUUGCCACAACUGUAUGAACGAGACUUCUAAUG